rnacentral:lncRNA from 1 species
GAAUUUAAAUAGAAAAUUAUAAAGAAAUAUUUAGUCAAAGGUAAACAUUAAAACCCAACCAGAUUUUUGAAGACCUAACUUCAAAAAUUAGAUAAAAAAUUUAUUCAUACAAAAAUUAAAUAUUAAUUCAAGUAUUAUAGAUCAAUAUUUUAAUAUUAAUAACAACAUUAUAAAUUAAUUUACAUACACACACUUUUCCCAGUACACCCCCAUUGAAAUCCGAAAUUAUUCUCUCUCUCUCUCUCUCUCUCCUUCAAAGGAUGCUGUCGUUGAAGAGCUACCGUUACCAGAGACCACCUUUGAGCGUCCUUGUGCCACCUUAUCAUUCCUAUCGCUGUUGCGAUUCGGUAGGGGGCUCAAUGGUGUGGCGUUGAUGGAGACCUUGGCUGCUGGUAUUGUUGGUGUGGCGAUGAGGGAUUACGGUGGUAAUGGUGGUGCUACAAGUGGUUAGUGCGGUGGUGGUGGAUUUGGUGGUGGAUAUAGCAUUUAGUUAGCGUCUAUCAUCAGUGCACGUUACGUUUCGGCUCCCCUAGAGUGAAUCAGGAUGGGUUGUAUUAGGUGGUACGUUGCGAUGACGGUGGCGGAUCUAACGGUGGCGAUGAGGCUUUGGUUUUGGUUGUUGGAGUGUUGGUUGUGAUUUCCAUAUUUUGUUGUUAUUUGGGGGUUCGGUUUCGUUGGUGGUGCUGGUGGAGGUGUUGGCCAUGGUAGUAGAUUUGAAAGAUGGCGGUGAUGAUGGCAGUGACGAGGAUAGUGGUGGUGGUGCGGAGACGGAUUGGGGUGGUGGUUUUUAUGACCAAUUAUUUGAGAUUGUAAUCAUUAAAUAAUAUGUGAUCGAUAAUUUGUGACCAAUAAAUAAUGUAAUCUAAAAAUUGAGUUGUGAUUUAUGAUUGAUGAAUAAAUUUUGACCCACAAUUUUUGAUUUGUGAUCAUGAAAGAAUUAGUAUCUUAUAAAAAAUUUUAUUCGUGAUCAAAAAAUAAUUUGUAAUAUAAAAAUUGUGAUCUUAAUAUAUAUAUAUAUAUA